rnacentral:lncRNA from 1 species
AUUUAGUACUUAAAAUUUAAAUUUAUUAUAAUUUUUAAUUUUUAAUUAUUAUUAUUAAAUUAUAAAAUUUAGUUUUUUUUGUUAAAUAUUAAUAAAUUAGUAAUGUGUAAGUGAUAUGAAAGUAUUGUGAUUCAUGAUGCGACAAUAAUUAAAAUAUUAUAUCACUUUCUUAUCAAUUAUAUAUCAAUAUUUAGUCAAUUAAUUGAAUUGCUGAAAUUUGAUUAUAAUAAUUUUAAAAAAUUGAGCCAAAAAUUAUAAUAAUUUAAUAUAUGAGGAUCAAAAUGUUACACGAAUUUGUAGUUUGAGGACCAAAAAUAUAAUUUAUCUUUCUGUGUUUUAGAAGGCCAAAAAUCUUAGGAAUAAUUUCAUAGAUGCCCUUCUAGAAACUAUUAAUUUCACCAAUACCCUUCUAAAAUUGAUAAUAUCAUAAAUACCCUCCAAUAUAUUAAAAAUUAUCAUAAAUACCCUCUAUUAGUUAAAAUCCGUUAAGACCUGUAUGAAACGGAGUUAAAUUUUUAAAAUACCAUUUUUACCCUUUAUCUCUUAUUAAUAGUAGAAAUACUAAGAGGUAUUUCAAGAUAUUUUUUGUAAAUUUAAAUUUGAGUAUUUAAUAUAUCAUAUUAAAUUAAAUUAUUAAUAUAUAUUAAUUAUUAAAAAAAUAUAAAAAUUAUAUUUUAUAUAUAGUAUGUUUUUAUCUGAUUUUGGUUUUGUUUUUUGGUUUUGAAUUUCGGUUCAGCUUCAGUUUAAAUAUAGACUAAACGUAUAACUGAAUUUAAAUAUGGAUAAUUCCUGAACUUUUUUUUUCAUUUAAAUUUUUAUAUAUAAUUAUUUAUUCGAUAAAAUAUAAAUAGAGCCACUAGAUUUGAUAAAAUUAUCAAAAAAUUAAAAA